rnacentral:rRNA from 1 species
AGGGUUCGAUUAUGGCUCAGGAUGAACGCUGGCGGUGCGCCUAAUACAUGCAAGUCGAACGAGAUCUUGACGAAGUUUACUUUGUUAAGUGACAGUGGCGGACGAGCGAGUAACACGUAAGAACCUGCCCCGUACUCAGGGAUAACGGCCCGAAAGGGUCGCUAAUACCGGAUAGUCUCGAAAGAGUAAAGAUUUAUCGGUACGGGAGGGGCUUGCGGCUUAUCAGUUAGUUGGUGGGGUAAAGGCCUACCAAGACUAUGACGAGUAGCUGGUCUGAGAGGAUGAUCAGCCGCGAUGGGACUGAGACACGGCCCAUACUCCUACGGGAGGCAGCAGUAAGGAAUCUUCCGCAAUGGACGAAAGUCUGACGGAGCGACACCGCGUGGUGGAUGAAGGCUUUCGGGUCGUAAACACCUUUUCUGGGGGAAGAAAAUCUGACGGUACUCCAGGAAUAAGGACCGGCUAAUUACGUGCCAGCAGCCGCGGUAAUACGUAAGGUCCGAGCGUUAUCCGGAAUUAUUGGGCGUAAAGCGUCCGCAGGUGGUUAGGUAAGUCGGUUAUUAAAUACCGGAGCUCAACUUCGGUGCUGUAAUCGAAACUAUCUAACUAGAGGAUGAGAGAGGUAUGUGGAAUUGUGCAAGUAGGGGUAAAAUCCGUAGAUAUGCACAGGAACACCAAAAGCGAAGGCAGCUCACUGGACAUUUACUGACGCUCAUGGACGAAAGCGUGGGGAGCGAAAGGGAUUAGAUACCCCUGUAGUCCACGCCGUAAACGAUGUAUGCUCGAUGUUGGGACCCUCGACCUGGUCUCAGUGUCUAAGAUAACCCGUUAAGCAUGCCGCCUGUGUAGUACGAUCGCAAGAUUAAAACACAAAGGAAUAGACGGGGGCCCACACAAGCGGUGGAUCAUGGGGUUUAAUUCGUCAAUAAGCGGGUAACCUUACCCGGGCUUGACAUCUCUAUCGUACCUUUUAGAAACAAUUGGGUCAGUUAGGCUGGAUAGAUGACAGGCGCUGCAUGGUUGUCGUCAGCUCGUGCCUUGAGGUGUACGGUUAAGUCCGCGAACGAGCGCAACCCUCGUCCUAUGUUGUAUUUUCAUGGGAGACUGCCGGUCAUAAACCGGAGGAAGGUGAGGAUGACGUCAAAUCAGCAUGGCCCUUAUGCCUGGGGCUACACCCACAAUACAAUGGCUAGUACAAACUGAAGCGAAGCAGCGAUGUGGAGCGAAUCGGAGAAAACUUGUCUCAGUUCGGAUUGGAGUCUGCAACUCGACUCCAUGAAGCUGGAAUCGCUAGUAAACGUAUAUCAGUCACGGUACGUUGAAUAUGUUCCUGGGUCUUGUACUCACCGCCCGUCAAGGCAUGGAAGCUGGGAGCACCCAAAGUCUGCGUAAUAAUCGUGGCCUAAGGUGAGUUCAGUGACUGGGCUUAAGUCGUAACAAGGUAGCC